rnacentral:lncRNA from 1 species
AUGAUUUGGAGUUCCUCGCACUCGCGACUCAUGAAAAGCAUUGUUGAACCUUAGACACGUUCUUUUGUAUGGUAUCAGAGAGAUACGUUAUCAGAGAAACGACGGUAUUUUUAAUAUUUUUACUCAAAACAUUCUCUGACGUCUGAACUCGAGACUUGUUGAAAGGCCCAAGACAUGGAGGCCUGACGGAAUUCGAACUCAAGACCUUUUGCUCUGAUACCAUAUUAAAGAAUAUAAAAUAAUUAUUUAUUUUCAAAAGCCUAAUAUUUAUAUUUAAUAAUAUUUGCGGUGUUUUCACUUGUUAUAUUAUAUUAUACUACAUUAAAUUUUGAAUUCUAUAAUUAUAUGUCUUAAAAAAAGAAAAGAAUAUUUUGCGCAAUAACCGCUCAGUUCUCCGGUAAUUGCAUGUAAGUUUUUCAAUUCUUUAUUGUUUAAACUCCGCUAAAAUGCAAAAACCAUUCUAUGAAUAUCUGCUUUUGCACUUUAACCCGCUUAUUUUUUUUAAGAACUUUUUUUUUUCGUUUUAGAUUUUAAAAAUUGCAACACUUAAUCCAGCAUCAUUACCGUUCCAUCACUAUAUUUUCAUUACUAUUCUUUGUAUAAAUUAUGUGGUGCAAUCGAGUAACUUACUGAAACACCCAAUAUACCUUCAAAAAAAGUAAGAAUGGUUAAAACUCUUUUAUUUUCUCUCAAAUUAGAUAACUUUAUAAAAGAGAUCUCUCUUUUUUUUUCGUCGAUUUUAAAGAUGAAAUGGAUAUAUCAGUAUUUACCCAGUUGUACUCUAUAAUGUAUCCAUGGCACAAUGACGAAAUAGUAACAGUGCGAGAUUAAGUACAUACUAUAAAAGUGGAUAUUUAUAGUUGUUUUCUACAUUUUAGCCUUUAUAUUAUAGUCCAUUGAAUCAUCCUCUUAAAUUAAAAAAAAAAAAGAGAUGAAAGCCGGCAAGUCAAAAUGCCAUUUUUAUUAGUAUACUACAAGAAGAGUUAUCCUUUGGAAUAUUCUUACUAAGUUAAGCAUAUAUAUAAUAUUAAUUUUUAGUAAUACCUUAUUUGAUGAAUGUAUGAUGGAAUAAGGGACAACAUAUAGCAACUUAAAUUCAAUUAGUUUUUAGUGGGAGAACUAGGACUAGGAAUGUUUCUCUUGGCUAUUUAUUAUUGGCUAAAAUAUAUUUUUAACUUUCUCAACCGUGACAACAGGUCUAUGAGAUUAAUAAAUCGAAUAGAGCUGCGGUCCACAAUAGAUGGAAUGGUGAGAGACCCAACAACAAACGUAAUGUCCACGGGUGGAAUCAGAUCGAAGUUCGUGAAGUGCUGUAACUGAGUUCUUAAGUGCAAUGAAUGUAUCAUUUUUAUCAAUAUAUAUUUAGGGGAUAGUUGGUUAAUACUUACGAUUCACAGUUUCUUUAAAAGAUUUUUGCUUUAAGAAAGAAAGAGAUCCUACAUUUUGGGAAUGAUAUAAGCCUUUGACCAAAUUGAAUUUUGAUUUUUUUUUUGUGUUUUUUGAGAAAAAAAAGGAGCAAGAUAAUGUAGUGAAUGUGAUGGUUGUGUUAACUCAAAAUGCAUGAAUUUU